UACGGGGGGGGGCAAGCGUUGUUCGGAAUUACUGGGCGUAAAGGGCUCGUAGGCGGCCAACUAAGUCAGACGUGAAAUCCCUCGGCUUAACCGGGGAACUGCGUCUGAUACUGGAUGGCUAGAGGUUGGGAGAGGGAUGCGGAAUUCCAGGUGUAGCGGUGAAAUGCGUAGAUAUCUGGAGGAACACCGGUGGCGAAGGCGGGACUCUGGGCCUACCCUGACGCUGAGGCGCGAAGGCGUGGGGAGCAAACGGG
rnacentral:rRNA from 1 species